rnacentral:rRNA from 1 species
UAAUUUGAGAGUUUGAUCCUGGCUCAGGACGAACGCUGGCGGCGUGCCUAAUACAUGCAAGUCGAACGAACUCUGGUAUUGAUUGGUGCUUGCAUCAUGAUUUACAUUUGAGUGAGUGGCGAACUGGUGAGUAACACGUGGGAAACCUGCCCAGAAGCGGGGGAUAACACCUGGAAACAGAUGCUAAUACCGCAUAACAACUUGGACCGCAUGGUCCGAGUUUGAAAGAUGGCUUCGGCUAUCACUUUUGGAUGGUCCCGCGGCGUAUUAGCUAGAUGGUGGGG